rnacentral:rRNA from 1 species
AUUGAACGCUGGCGGCAGGCCUAACACAUGCAAGUCGAACGGUAACAGGAAGAAGCUUGCUUCUUUGCUGACGAGUGGCGGACGGGUGAGUAAUGUCUGGGAAACUGCCUGAUGGAGGGGGAUAACUACUGGAAACGGUAGCUAAUACCGCAUAACGUCGCAAGACCAAAGAGGGGGACCUUCGGGCCUCUUGCCAUCGGAUGUGCCCAGAUGGGAUUAGCUAGUAGGUGGGGUAACGGCUCACCUAGGCGACGAUCCCUAGCUGGUCUGAGAGGAUGACCAGCCACACUGGAAAUGAGACACGGUCCAGACUCCUACGGGAGGCAGCAGUGGGGAAUAUUGCACAAUGGGCGCAAGCCUGAUGCAGCCAUGCCGCGUGUAUGAAGAAGGCCUUCGGGUUGUAAAGUACUUUCAGCGGGGAGGAAGGGAGUAAAGUUAAUACCUUUACUCAUUGACGUUACCCGCAGAAGAAGCACCGGCUAACUCCGUG